UUAAAGUCAGAAACGAUGCCAUUUUGACGAUCAUAUGUUAUUAGGAUACUGUAUAUGAGGCAGACUGUAAUGACAAGUAAAAUAAGUUUUUUUACUCGAUGACAAGUAAUAAGUUAUGAUAACAUCUUCAUAUUAUUUCAGUAUAAUGUCUGAUCUAGUCUACAUGUUCUUCGCGAUGUCUGCAUUUUUUUUACCCAGAUCAUUACUUUCUCUUGAAUGACAGGCAUAUUUAUUUGAUCGCCCAUAAAGGUUUGCAACUAGAAUUUCGUCAUGGGUUUAUAAUUUAC
rnacentral:lncRNA from 1 species